AACCCUCAGCUAGCUUUCACCCUCUGCUUGGCUCUCAGGACCCUGACAGGCAGGAGUGACUUGCAGGGCAGGAUUUGGUAACUCUUGAGUUCUGGCUGAAAUACCAUAUAACAGCAUCAAAAACCUCUCCUAACACGGAACAAUACGGGAAGGGGACUAUUAAUAAGAGGAGGACUGCUGCGAUCAGGGAGAAGGACACACAAAGAGCGAGCAGUGAGCUUCUGCACAGAGGAGCUGAGCUUCAAAUCUGGCUCUGAGCCUUUCCCCAGCCAGGGUGAAGGAGGAAAUGCACUGCAUAUGUCUGGUACGUGGCAAAUCGACAUCAUGCACUAAAUAUUGAUUCAGUUUCUCUCCUUUCAACUGGAAGUCUUCUGGAGCUCCCGGCAGCAUAGAGGAGAAGAUUCAGUACUGCUCUUGAACCAUCGGGCUGGUUGCUCUCCUGUUGUGAAGCUACUCCUGGGGCAUCUAGGUGGUACCUCUUCUAAGUCAAAGCACAUCCUGGGACCUGCAGUGGCCAUUAACCAGCAAGUGUUUACUGAGUACAUUAAUGUGCACUGCUCUUUAUGAAAAUGAAAAAAAAUUGUUGGCUCUUAGUUCUGUUCCUUUUAAGUAAGAAAUAAAUGUUCUAAGUUA